rnacentral:sRNA from 1 species
UUGACAGCUCUGGAACCUGAAAUCCUCUCUUUAUCCACAGAACAGUUAGUUAUAACACGGACGUCCCUACACAGCCCUGCCAAUGUGCCUCAGACUUAAGCUGCAGGGACCACCUCUAGCACCGAGAGUGUUUUUCAUUUACUCAGACAAUUCCCUGCCUACAAUAG